GAAGCUUGCUUCCAGGCGUCGAGCGGCGGACGGGUGAGUAAUGCAUAGGAAUCUGCCCGAUAGUGGGGGAUAACGUGGGGAAACCCACGCUAAUACCGCAUACGUCCUACGGGAGAAAGCAGGGGAUCUUCGGACCUUGCGCUAUCGGAUGAGCCUAUGUCGGAUUAGCUAGUUGGUGAGGUAAUGGCUCACCAAGGCGACGAUCCGUAGCUGGUCUGAGAGGAUGAUCAGCCACACUGGGACUGAGACACGGCCCAGACUCCUACGGGAGGCAGCAGUGGGGAAUAUUGGACAAUGGGGGAAACCCUGAUCCAGCCAUGCCGCGUGUGUGAAGAAGGCCUUCGGGUUGUAAAGCACUUUCAGCGAGGAAGAAGGCCUGAGGGUUAAUACCCUUCAGGAAGGACAUCACUCGCAGAAGAAGCACCGGCUAACUCCGUGCCAGCAGCCGCGGUAAUACGGAGGGUGCGGAGCGUUAAUCGGAAUUACUGGGCGUAAAGCGCGCGUAGGUGGCUUGAUAAGCCGGUUGUGAAAGCCCCGGGCUCAACCUGGGAACGGCAUCCGGAACUGUCAGGCUAGAGUGCAGGAGAGGAAGGUAGAAUUCCCGGUGUAGCGGUGAAAUGCGUAGAGAUCGGGAGGAAUACCAGUGGCGAAGGCGGCCUUCUGGACUGACACUGACACUGAGGUGCGAAAGCGUGGGUAGCAAACAGGAUUAGAUACCCUGGUAGUCCACGCCGUAAACGAUGUCGACUAGCCGUUGGGUUCCUUGAGAACUUUGUGGCGCAGUUAACGCGAUAAGUCGACCGCCUGGGGAGUACGGCCGCAAGGUUAAAACUCAAAUGAAUUGACGGGGGCCCGCACAAGCGGUGGAGCAUGUGGUUUAAUUCGAUGCAACGCGAAGAACCUUACCUACCCUUGACAUCGUGCGAACUUGGUAGAGAUACCUUGGUGCCUUCGGGAACGCACAGACAGGUGCUGCAUGGCUGUCGUCAGCUCGUGUUGUGAAAUGUUGGGUUAAGUCCCGUAACGAGCGCAACCCUUGUCCCUAUUUGCCAGCGAUUCGGUCGGGAACUCUAGGGAGACUGCCGGUGACAAACCGGAGGAAGGUGGGGACGACGUCAAGUCAUCAUGGCCCUUACGGGUAGGGCUACACACGUGCUACAAUGGUCGGUACAAAGGGUUGCAAUGCCGCGAGGUGGAGCUAAUCCCAUAAAGCCGAUCUCAGUCCGGAUCGGAGUCUGCAACUCGACUCCGUGAAGUCGGAAUCGCUAGUAAUCGUGAAUCAGAAUGUCACGGUGAAUACGUUCCCGGGCCUUGUACACACCGCCCGUCACACCAUGGGAGUGGACUGCACCAGAAGUGGUUAGCUUAACCUUCGGGGGAGCGAUCACUCACGGUGUGUCAAGGU
rnacentral:rRNA from 1 species